UACAGAGGGAGCAAGCGUUAUUCGGAAUUAUUGGGCGUAAAGGGCGCGUAGGCGGCCCAGCAAGUCUUGGGUGAAAUCCCUCGGCUCAACCGAGGAACUGCCCUGGAAACUGCUGGACUUGAGGCCGGGAGAGGGUGGUGGAAUUCCCAGUGUAGCGGUGAAAUGCGUAGAUAUUGGGAGGAACACCAGUGGCGAAGGCGGCCACCUGGACCGGUUCUGACGCUGAGGCGCGAAAGCGUGGGGAGCAAAC
rnacentral:rRNA from 1 species